UAAAGAAUUGGUGAAAACAGUGAAAAUUAACAAUGAAAAUGCCUUUGUCCUUCAACAAUUAGAGGUAAAGAAACUAAAUGGAAUCUUAUAUGUCAACGUGAGUGGAAAAGGAGUUGGAUCAUUAUCAGUAAAAUUAAGAUAUAAUGUAGCAAAUGUUGGAUAUCAAAUAUGCAAUUACAAAAUUACUGUACGUGUUUCUAAAGUAAAGGGGCAGUUUUCAGUACAGAAGAAUAGCAUUUAUUAUGAAAAAGGAAAUA